rnacentral:rRNA from 1 species
UACAGAGGUCCCAAGCGUUGUUCGGAUUCACUGGGCGUAAAGGGUGCGUAGGCGGUCGGGUAAGUCUGACGUGAAAUCUUCAAGCUCAACUUGGAAACUGCGUCGGAUACUAUUCGGCUAGGGGAAUGGAGGGGAGACUGGAAUACUUGGUGUAGCAGUGAAAUGCGUAGAUAUCAAGUGGAACACCAGUGGCGAAGGCGAGUCUCUGGACAUUUCCUGACGCUGAGGCACGAAAGCCAGGGGAGCAAACGGG